UUAUUUUAUUUUUUUAUCGUUUUUAAUUUUAAUCAUAGUGCACAUAUUCAAAGAAAGUAUCUUUAAACACAAAAAACCCUGAAAUGUAUAUUUGGAUCGUUUUAAGGCAAUUGAAGACACGCAACCUCAGGUAUCCCGCUUUAUAUCGAUAGCUCCUCCCCCGGGAGACAGAGAGUCGCUCUGGUGGAUCAGUGUACAGAUUGUAUAUAGCGUCAUUUUUACGGAAACCCUUUUGGCGUGCAUAAGGAUCACUGUGUACACAUUGGCCAAGUGCUUCUGUAGAUAAUGUCUGUGGAGUAAAUAUUUGACAGGCCAGAACUUGAGUCUUUUGCCUUGCCUUUAUUACAUGUAAAUUUUGAAUCUCGUGACCAGUGAUUUGGAUUUUAUUUUGUAUUUACAGGGUCUGUCAUUAAUAAUAAUUAACCCCCCUCCCCUCAUGGAACACUCCCGUUUGUACCUCAACAGAUGCAAAUUCCCCUCUCGUUCACCCUACGCCCUUUUUGGUACACUUAGAAGUUUUCCUUUUCCAUCAAUGGUACUGUUUCUUAGUGUUUUCAAUUGGAACAUAUCUUGUCUCACAGAGCUUUAAAUUAUUCUCCUAAGUUUCUUGUGGAUGAAGCGCUCUCAUCUAACCUAUGUUGGGUUGUGCCACCACGUCUGUACCAGAUGUCCCAUCCGGCAUCUUUCCAUUGAAUCUUGUAGUGCAACUUGCGUAUCAUCUUCUCCACCUCCAAGUGUCUGAAUGCUUACACAAAUAAAUUUUAUAACUCACUCAUUUUGCAUACUAUUCUUGAAAUGUGGCUCCACGGAGCAGAUGGGGCACCUGUUUUGCACAUGUGCAUGGUUGAGGAAGUGUGUGUAUGUUGAGACAGGUUGAACGACUCCAGGGGAAAGUGCCCAGAUGUCAAAAAGCCAAAUGUCCAGGUUAUCUUCCUAUGCAAUGUGUGUGCUAGGUCCCUGAGUUACGACCGACACCACGGGUUUGUGAAACUGCUGAAGUUCUUGCGCUGCUGUGGGGGCCGCAUCUUCUGGUCCUGUCCGCCGAGGUCCUGUCCGCGAAGCUCUCCGUUCUUUUCUCUUGCAUCCCUCAGCAGGGUGGGGAUUCCCCGGUUCUCAGAGCAGGUCUUGCUGGUCUCACUCAGAUCUGUGUAGUGUUUUUUUUGUUUGUCGAUGCUAAUUACUGUCCUCCUUUUGGAGGGUUAGGCCUUGAGAAAGGGUUUUUGGAGCAGGAACUUUGAGUGAACUUAGUGACAUCAGCGUGGCCUUGUGCUGGUGUGUAUGUCGUGUUCUAGGAAGGCAGGCCAAGGAUAGAUGUGUCAGGCGUGAGACAAUUGCUUAGAUUUAUUAAGUGGGGUCUAGGUUUUUAGACUAUUGUGAUAGUCUAUUAGAAGUAGUAGAUUUAGGCUGGAGUAAUAAUUUCAUCCAAGAAUACGUUUUGGCUAGGGGAAAUAAAGACAAUUUUUUUUUUCUUUUUAAAUUGAGUCUAUGAGUUAUGUGUGCAGUUCCCUCAAAGACCAGAAGAGGGUAUGAGAUUCCUCUCUUGGGAACUGUAGUUACAGGUGAGCUGCCCUGUGGGUCCUGGGAAUUGAAUCUAGGUGUUCUUGCAGAACAGCCUGUGUUCUUAACUGCUGAGCCAUCACUCUGACCCCAGUCCAGUGUUAUUUUAUACCAAGUAUGUUACCUGGAACAAUAGUUUGAGAAUAUUUCGUGUUUCUAGAGUACUCUGCUUUGGAGUACUGUGUGUCUCUUUUUCUGUACGAGGCUUGAUGUAUAAACCAAAGGUUGUUGCAGGAAAGUCACCAAAUGAACCUGUUCUGCAGAGUGCUGUUGACUUGAAGAGCGUCCCUGAGGGCCACAAGCAUUGCUAGUGGAAAGCUCGUCAAUUGUACAAGUGGGUAGUGAUACAGUAGUAAAGCCAGUUGUCUUUUCUCUUUCCAGUGCUAGUACAUGAACCAGGACUUGUGUGUGCUGGGUCAGUGCUUUCCUGGGCUUUUCCUGCAAUCCCCGCCAUCCUGUCUUUAACAGCUUCUGCUGAGCUGCUGAGAGGACUAGAUGCUAAUUAAGCAUAGGCUUAUCAAAAUAAAUGUAGGCUGGUCCUCUGUACUCAGUAGACCACAAGGCACGGGUUCCCAUCUCCUGUGAAAGCAACAAGAUGGUCUUUGGGAGUUUGUUGGAAACCUUGCUGCAGAUGUGGGGUUGACAGUUGUAAAGUGGAUUGCCUCGUUCUAUAGUCUCCUCUAUGUUGUUACAUUGUAGCACAAAAUAAAUUAGAUGUUCUCUGGACGUUUUGUUUAGCUCAGCUUGGCAAGCUGUAUUCAUGUGUUCACUUCUAGUCCUUUAUUCAGAGCAGGGCCUGUCUGAGAACACCACUGCUACCCAUUUCACAUCACAGGCUACUGUGGGUGAGCACAGCAUCACUCAGAAGUCCUUCCACAGUGUACUGUCCACAGCUCAUGGCAACCAUGCCACCAGUCUGGGAAAAGGAGCACCUCAGAGAGCGGUGAGGCAGGCCGAGUGCCGACUGCUGAGCUCUGGCUCACAGACAGGUUGUCCUUUGGGUUAUCCAUGUUCCUCCUUAUGAGUGCCGAGAUUGUAGGCAUGCCUCACAUGUUGGCUCAAUGAUGGCUUCCCCCACCCCCACUGCUGUCCCACUAGGUAACAGCCUGUGAUGUGGAACCAACCACCUGUGCAGAGUGGAAGACAGUGGGUUCCUUCCUAGCAGCUGGGGUUGCUUGGCUCCUUGACAUGGUUCCUGGUUCUGUAUGUGGCGUUUUAUACUAUUCUUUGGCAAAACCUGUAAUUGUAUAUGCAUUAUAUUUCUUUAAAAACCUGGCUUCUGUGUUUCUGCUACAAAAUAUGGCAAUGAAGGUGGAUUCCUGAGCACGCAUACUGUCGUGCUAGGUCAAUAAAGCUCUGGAAAGCUGU
rnacentral:lncRNA from 1 species